GGGUAGGUAAAAAGAAAGGUAUUCUGACUCUUAAUCAGUUGCUUCAAGGUUCGAGUCCUUGAUGGCCCACCA
rnacentral:tRNA from 2 species